GGGCGCUCAGAGGGAGAGCUGCGCGGCCUUCCAGGCAGAAGGAACACCGUGUCCAAACGCACAGAAGCGUGAAAGCCCCCACGAGUGCUUUGACGUUGUGGUGGGUCAAGUCUACCUGAUGAGGCGAACAGGGAACUCUUCCGGGGAGAAAAUCCUGCCUGUCAAUCUCAUAUUCUGAGUUCCCUUCUAUCAGAUGGGGGCUUAUUGUGCUGCCUCAUACCCACUAAAGGGCGUGAAACCCAGAAUCCUCACUAUGUCUUUUAAUGUCGUUAAAGAUUGGGCCUUCGAGAUGGCUCAGUGGGUAAAGACGCUGCCAAGUUUGCUGACCUGAGUUCUGGACCUUGGAAGGAGAGACUGGAACCCUGCAGGUUGUUCCUCUGAUUUGUACAUGCGCCACGCACGUAAUUUCAAUAAAUAACUGAUAGCUCUA
rnacentral:lncRNA from 1 species